GUGGGGAAUAUUGGACAAUGGGGGGAACCCUGAUCCAGCCAUGCCGCGUGUGUGAAGAAGGCCUUUUGGUUGUAAAGCACUUUAAGCGAGGAGGAGGCUACCGAGAUUAAUACUCUUGGAUAGUGGACGUUACUCGCAGAAUAAGCACCGGCUAACUCUGUGCCAGCAGCCGCGGUAAUACAGAGGGUGCAAGCGUUAAUCGGAUUUACUGGGCGUAAAGCGCGCGUAGGUGGCCAAUUAAGUCUAAUGUGAAAUCCCCGAGCUUAACUUGGGAAUUGCAUUCGAUACUGGUUGGCUAGAGUAUGGGAGAGGAUGGUAGAAUUCCAGGUGUAGCGGUGAAAUGCGUAGAGAUCUGGAGGAAUACCGAUGGCGAAGGCAGCCAUCUGGCCUAAUACUGACACUGAGGUGCGAAAGCAUGGGGAGCAAACAGGAUUAGAAACCCGGGUAGUCC
rnacentral:rRNA from 1 species